rfam:Exidia glandulosa HHB12029 unplaced genomic scaffold EXIGLscaffold_59, whole genome shotgun sequence.
GACUCGAUGGCGUAGUUGGUUAUCGCAUCUGUCUAACACACAGAAGGUCUCAGGUUCGAACCCUGGUCGAGUCA